rnacentral:tRNA from 1 species
CAUUAAGUGACUGAAAGUAAGUAAUGGUCUCUUAAACCAUAAAUAAUAAUUUAACGUUUAUUCUUAAUGG